rnacentral:rRNA from 1 species
UACGUAGGGUGCAAGCGUUAAUCGGAAUUACUGGGCGUAAAGCGUGCGCAGGCGGUUCGGAAAGAAAGAUGUGAAAUCCCAGGGCUCAACCUUGGAACUGCAUUUUUAACUACCGGACUAGAGUGUGUCAGAGGGGGGUGGAAUUCCACGUGUAGCAGUGAAAUGCGUAGAUAUGUGGAGGAACACCGAUGGCGAAGGCAGCCCCCUGGGAUAACACUGACGCUCAUGCACGAAAGCGUGGGGAGCAAACAGG